UGAAGACAUCAGUACUUGUCAAGUAAUGUCUUUAAUGAUAAGAUAAACAGCAUUUGAACAGCCUCAAUUGAUUGAAGACCAUUUCAAUACAAGACAUGGUCAUGUCUUGAUUUUUAGUGGGCCACUGAAACGACCUUUACAUAAUCUACCAAAUAGAUUCCAAGGUCUGAAAGAGGUCUUGUUCAACAACUGUAUACAAAUACAGAAGAACUCUUCAAAUGGCUUGUCAUGUGUAAAGAACAUACUGUAGUAGGUCUCCCCAUCUUCUGAUGCUGGAAACAGAAGAAAGUGACUGGCUUCAAGUCUGAGUUCUCAGAAAGAUGAGAAAAGUCCAGGGGUUUUAAAUUAUUUCCUCAUCCUUUCCUCAUUCAGAUUUAGCAGCAAGGUCUGGAGUACAUAGAGUUCAUGGGCCAUGCCAGCACCAACAUUCUGACCUCGGAUAACAUUCUGCUUUCAUGAACAAAGCAUUGAUUAGAGCGAUAGCAUUCUUCUGUACAUCUGCACUUUUACUACAAUUUAAGGAAGAAAAAAAAAAUGAUUUUAAAAAAGGUAAGUCUAUUAAAAUAUUUAGAUUUCU